UACGAAGGGGGCUAGCGUUGUUCGGAAUUACUGGGCGUAAAGCGCGCGCAGGCGGUCUUCCAAGUCAGUGGUGAAAGCCCGGAGCUCAACUCCGGAACUGCCAUUGAAGCUGUUGGACUUGAGUACGAGAGAGGUGAGUGGAAUUCCCAGUGUAGAGGUGAAAUUCGUAGAUAUUGGGAAGAACACCGGUGGCGAAGGCGGCUCACUGGCUCGUAACUGACGCUCAGGCGCGACAGCGUGGGGAUCAAACAGG
rnacentral:rRNA from 1 species